GUCAAUUAUAAGAGUGGAGAAUGUAGUGGUAUAUAACUAAGUACUUUAAAGUUAGCAUGGUUAUGUGUCAUGAAGAGAGAAAAUCAUGGUAGUAUAACUAGCAAUUUUUUAUUAUGCUUGGACGUAUAGCUCUAAGAACCUAAAGGAAAUUAUUAGAUUAGGUGGCAAAAUCCUUCAAGAGUUAUUUCUUAAUAUUAGGAAGUAAUCUUGUACGUACAUUCAACCAAAGAAUAAAACAAGGAAAGUGGUUAAUAGUUUGAAUAAUAUAAGGGUCAAGUUUAUAAUCGUGUACAUGCAUGCACACAUCUUUCUCAACUAUUUGAGAUAAAUCCUCCACCUUUGCAUCAUGCGGCAACCGAAAUAGCAACAAGGAAACUUUAGGAUGCCAUGUGCCAUUUUGUGGGUUAUUAAUUCAUUUUAAUUGUUUAACUCUAGUUAAUUCAUUUUUAUUUCUAAUACCAUAAAAAUCAAGCAACCUCACACCAUAUUUCUUUUUCUCUCUCUCGUUUGCCCAUUCUUCAUAUUACCAAAAUCAUAUAAAGUACUACAGCUCAUAUGCUAAGGUUCAAGGGUACAUACAAGGGUUUUCAGCUAGAACAUUAAAUAAAGGAUAUAAGGUAUUGUUCGAGUUGGUUUUCCUCUAAAGGUUUUAAGUGCAAUCAAAAGUUUCUCCACAUUCGAGGCAAUAGACAGGGAACAUGGAAUAUAAGUUUGAAAAGCUGGGUCAGUCUGGUAUGUAUACUGCGAGGGGCUAUGGACGAGUAAACGGUCUAGAACGCCGGUGGAGCCUUGGUUUUGUUUUUUUUUAUAUAUAGUAAAAUAUUCUGAGCUCAGUGGGAUGUUGUAAAUUUAUUUUAAAAAUGCACUCAACUACUUAUUUUGUUUUUAAUAUGAAUGAUCAUUCGCCUUUUUACACAUUUAUUAAAAACCCGCUGUGUAUUUCCAAACAGUUUUGAAUCUUUUCAGUUUAUGCAUCAAAGUUAGUAUUUUGUGAAGUAAGGCAAAUAAAAUUUGGGGCGUUACAUUUAACCACUUACCUUAAUGGUUUUUCACCCUUGCUAGAAAUUCAUGAAAUUUUUCAAACAUUUUAAAUUUCUUUUGCUUAAGGUAAAAUCUAGAGUGAUCGUUUUAAGAAUAUAACGAAAAACUCAUAUCCACCCCUGAAUGUACAUCCAUCUACAAAUGAGAUGAACUACUUUCAGUGGAUAUAGGCAUAUUAACUCUUUGCAGAGAUUGAUCUUGUCAAAACCACUAUGAACAAGAUAC